AGAGUUUGAUCCUGGCUCAGAUUGAACGCUGGCGGCAUGCUUUACACAUGCAAGUCGAACGGUAACAGGUCUUCGGAUGCUGACGAGUGGCGAACGGGUGAGUAAUGUAUCGGAACGUGCCCAGUAGUGGGGGAUAACUACUCGAAAGAGUGGCUAAUACCGCAUGAGAACUGAGGUUGAAAGCGGGGGACCUUCGGGCCUCGCGCUACUGGAGCGGCCGAUAUCAGAUUAGGUAGUUGGUGGGGUAAAGGCCUACCAAGCCGACGAUCUGUAGCUGGUCUGAGAGGACGACCAGCCACACUGGGACUGAGACACGGCCCAGACUCCUACGGGAGGCAGCAGUGGGGAAUUUUGGACAAUGGACGCAAGUCUGAUCCAGCAAUGCCGCGUGCAGGACGAAGGCCUUCGGGUUGUAAACUGCUUUUGUACAGAACGAAAAGGCUCUGGUUAAUACCUGGGGCUCAUGACGGUACUGUAAGAAUAAGCACCGGCUAACUACGUGCCAGUAGCCGCGGUAAUACGUAGGGUGCGAGCGUUAAUCGGAAUUACUGGGCGUAAAGCGUGCGCAGGCGGUUUUGUAAGACCGAUGUGAAAUCCCCGGGCUCAACCUGGGAACUGCAUUGGUGACUGCAAGGCUGGAGUGCGGCAGAGGGGGAUGGAAUUCCGCGUGUAGCAGUGAAAUGCGUAGAUAUGCGGAGGAACACCGAUGGCGAAGGCAAUCCCCUGGGCCUGCACUGACGCUCAUGCACGAAAGCGUGGGGAGCAAACAGGAUUAGAUACCCCGGUAGU
rnacentral:rRNA from 1 species